CCCUUUUGUAAUUUAAAUGUUUAAAAUAUCAUAUUUUCACUAUGAAAAUGAUUAUAUCCAAAAGA
rnacentral:tRNA from 1 species